rnacentral:rRNA from 1 species
UGGGGAAUCUUAGACAAUGGGGGAAACCCUGAUCUAGCCAUGCCGCGUGAGUGAUGAAGGCCUUAGGGUCGUAAAGCUCUUUCGCUGGGGAAGAUAAUGACUGUACCCAGUAAAGAAACCCCGGCUAACUCCGUGCCAGCAGCCGCGGUAAUACGGAGGGGGUUAGCGUUGUUCGGAAUUACUGGGCGUAAAGCGCGCGUAGGCGGAUCAGAAAGUUAGAGGUGAAAUCCCAGGGCUCAACCCUGGAACUGCCUUUAAAACUCCUGGUCUUGAGUUCGAGAGAGGUGAGUGGAAUUCCGAGUGUAGAGGUGAAAUUCGUAGAUAUUCGGAGGAACACCAGUGGCGAAGGCGGCUCACUGGCUCGAUACUGACGCCGAGGUGCGAAAGCGUGGGGAGCAAACA